rnacentral:ncRNA from 1 species
UGAAAUGCUGUGAAGGAAAGAGUAAUAAAUGAAAGUAUUUAAAGAGAGUCGGAUUAGGUGAAAGCCGAUAAUAAAAUAGUUUAUGAACAUGGCUCCAGAGCAGGUUAUUUGAAAUUGUAUUAGGAUAACACGGAGGCAACCGUUAUGAUGCAGAGUAAUAAAAGGUCUUCUUAUGAUGACUUGAGUUACUUACUGAGAUCUUUAUUGUGAAAUAAAGAUAAAAUAGAGUGGUAAAGUGUUUAUAUGCACCUCUAUA